rnacentral:lncRNA from 1 species
AAGUUGUAUAUCUUCAAUUGUUUGACUGAUACCGUACCUAAGGUAUCGUUUGGUUCGGGGAUAAGCAAAAAGUGGCUAUUCCAGGGAUAGGUAUAAAUUGAGGUAUAAGCGGGGAUUAGAUCAAUUUUGCGUUUGAAUGAAAAUUGGCCUAUUCUUGGGAUUAAAAAAAAUAGCGUUUGGUUAGGUAUGAUAGAAUAAGAAAGAUAGCGAAUUUUUAUAAAUAAAAAAUAAUCAUAUUAUCCUCUUAUUAUAUUGAAAUUUAAAUUUUAAAAUUUCAAACUUUAAAUUUAAGAUCAAAUUUAAAUUUAAUAAAUAUAAAAUAUCAAAUUUUAAAUUUCAAAAUUAAAAUAUCAAAAUUAAAAUUUAUAAUUUAUAAUUUAUUCUUUAAAAUUAUAAACUUUAAUUUUGAGAUUAUAAAUUAUAAAUUUUAAAAAUUUAAAAUUUUAAUUUUUAAAUUUUUAAAAUAAGAAUCGGGGUGGGAACAAUUAAUAAAAAUAAUUUAUUAUAAUAAAUUUAUAGAUUUUUUUAAAAAUUCUACUUAAACUUAAAUUUAAUAAAAAGAAUUUAUUAUAAUAUUUAAAUAUAAAUAAUAUGUAUUAAUAUAGUAUAAUUAAUAAUUUUAUAAUAAAAAUAAUGUAUUAUAAUAUAUAAUAUAUUAUAUUUAUAUACUUUAGUUUUAAUUCAAUUUAUAAUUUUAAUUAAGUUUGAAAUUAAGCAUUGGAAUAGCACUAUUCCACCAAAAUGGUGGAAUAACAAAUUCCUUGCUAUCCCGGGAUAACCGGGAAUAGCAAGGUUUGACCGGGAUAAAAUAUCCCGGCCAGUUUUCAUUCCGUUUGGCGGAAUAGCGGGGAUAACUUUCGUUAUCCCCGCUUAUCCCCCCAACCAAACGGGGCCAGAUUUUUAUCGCCUACUCUGCUUUUAGUCGUUGCUAGCAGCUUAACCCUAAUAGAGCACCCGUGAGUUUCGAUUGUUUAAAUGAUUGUAUAGUCAUUGUCUUAAUCAUGCAGGUAAAUUCGCCAAAUAGGUGUACAUUUAAUACAUUUGAAUUCAAAAGCGGUUGAUGAAGCUAUGAGUUCCUCCACACAGUUUAUUUAUGCUAAGUUUAGCAGUAGUAUCUUUUGAUGAUGGUCCUGACGAUAAACUCAAUGUUAGUUGUGUUGCAGUAGCAGAAUACCACAAGCUCGAGUCUGAUCAGAUGAUCUAGUUAAGUGGUGUCCAACGAGGGAAAAAAAAGAAAGAAAAAGAAAAAAUACAAACACCAAAUUAAUCCACAAUAUAUGUAUAUAUCAAAUUAAAACAAAAGAGUCCAUACAACUAAUUAACCCUAAUAAAUAAUUGUACAAUAUAUGUAUAUAUCAAGACAAAAGAGUCCGUACAACCGACCUUAAAUAGCUAGACUCAAAACCAUAUUUGUUUGUGAAUGAUUUUUUUUAGACAAAACUAUAUAUAGCGAGGAAGUGAUACGUACUCAAUUAAUGACCCCUAGAUCGAGUUGACCACGUAUAUUCAUCAAGUGCCCCGGAGGCUAUGAACGCCAAGAAAAGGCAAAACAACAGACCCAAUCCACAACUUUCCAUCGCUCUCUUUCACUUCACUAACAAACCUCAGAUUCCUCCCUUGGUAUUGCAGCGCUCCCACAAUCUCACCCUCCUCACUCACCCUCAGUGCAAUCACUUGGACUCGAGGGCUCAGCUUGCUCAACAGCACGGUCGCCUUCUGAAGAUUGAAGGGCACUCGAAGAAGCACCUCCCUAAGCCAAGGAAGAGAGAGAGCCCAUCGGAGAAGCCUCCCCCUCUUGGAGUGGAGGGCCAACCAAAAGCCGCCGCCGCCGCCUUCUCGUGGAAUUCGCUUUAUGUUAUCUGGGAACCCUGGGAGUUGGGCGACCACUUCGAGGGUCGGGGUUGCCGCAUGGGGUUUACGAAGCCAGUAUCUUAAGAUCCUGCAAGUGGUGGUCUCUGCUAUGAGGAGGAAGGAGCCAUUUUUACUUAGUGCCAAACCAUUGGGGAAGGAUAAACUGUCUGCCAGGACUUGGAUUUCUUCUUUCUUCUUGGGAUCGUACUUCAUCAACCUCCCUGUUUUAUCCCUUGAUAUUACUGCUGACAUGAAUUCCCUACAAAAUAAAAGAGAAAAAUACAUACAUACAUAAUAUUGUUACAGCUGUACUCAUCGCAGAAAAACUUGGACUUAAUUUGCUUCAUCGAUCAUAAAAGGAAAAAAAAAAAUGAAGAAAAAGAAAGAGAGAGAGUUUUCCUUUAGUGUGACCUUGCUUAGAAUAUCAUGAUGCGGGUCGUUGAAAACUUCAUUUAAACUGCGUCGUGUUGAAUAUUAAAUGCUGGAACGGUUUCUUUUAGUAGUUUAAACUUUUAGAGCGAGCUGUUAGCUUCUAUUGUUUUAUCAAAAAAAUCUUCAGUUUAGACAUGAGUGGAGUAUUAAUUGAAUAUAUCUAUCUAUUAAUCUAUCUAUUAUCUAUUAAUCUAUUUCUAUUAAUAAUAUAUAUGAUUUCUCAAUAAUCUUGCUGAUGUGGCACAACCACAUUACUUUAGAAAUUUUUUUUUUUUAAACUCAGCCCAUAUUCUCUUGUCUUAACUCCCAACCCUCCAUCUUCUCCUUACAAUGUAUACCUUACCUUCCUCUUCUCUUAAUUAAGAAUAAACUUCCACCCCUCCAUCUUCUUUUUGCAAUAAAUCUAAUAAUUUCACAAAUUCUAUUAAUUAAUUAAUAUAUAUGAUUUCUUCCCCUUGGCUUAACUCUCACCUCUCAAUCUUCUCCUUGCAACGUGUAUCUUACAUUUCCCCUCUCUUAAGCAUAAACUUCCACCUUUCCAUCUUCUUCUUACAUCAAAUCUAUUAAUUUUUCAAACUUAUUACUUUAUCAAGUUAGAGCAUAUCAACAUAAUCAGGGUUAGCAACUUCCUAAUAAAAUAUUUUUAAAGAGUUAAUUUUAUAUUAGAGGACCGGAGGGCGAUGGGAAAUGCGGCGCGGGGGGGCGGGGCUGCAUUGAGGCUGAGGGCGGUGCUACUGCCGACAAUGACUAUGGCGACAACGACUGCGUCCUCGAUGGUGGCGGUGCUCGUGGUGGUGAUUUUAUUUAUUUAUUUAUUUACUUAUUUAUUUUGAGCUUUUUAGAAUUUGAUAGCUCUUUUCACUAGAAUUUUCGUGCUCAAAAUAUGAUAAGAAUUGGAUUAUUUUUUUGGCCCAUUAUUUAUAAGUGGCAAUAGUUAUUUAUGGACUGAUUGGAGCUAAAAAAACAAAUAAUUGGAAUAACUAAUUUUAUAUAUAUUUUUAAUUUGAUAUAAAAUAUAUGCAAGAUUCAAAAUAUAUAAAUAUGAAAAAAUAUCAAGCUAGCCGAAAUUGGAUCGUGCUCUUCUCUUUCGUUCUCUUUGUAGGUUCCAAGUAUACAUCUAAUUUUUUUUAUAAGAAAAAAAAAAAUAUUAGAAGCAAUUCCUAAGACUGAUCUGACGCAACCUACUUACACCUCUACUUUUUAUUUAUUUUAUAAUGUGAAUAGAGUAUUUCAUAUAAUUCACAUUGACGUCUGUAGGUUUCCUAAGCCACAGAAACUCAAACCCUUGAAUUUGUGAUUUCAAGUCAAGUAUUUUAUCCACCUAUCCUAAGGUGUAUUAGUAGCUCAAUUAAUUUGUUUAAAAAUUAGAUCGAAAGUGGUCACAUUUCAUGCUAUAACUUUACCUUUUUGAUAUGAUAAAAUUCUUUUCAUUGUGUCUACUUCAGUUAAUAAAUUACUUGCUUUCUUUUAGAAUACAAAAAAAAAAAAAAUAUAAGCCACCUCACCAAGAAAGCAACGAGUCAAGUAAUGGUUUGUUGGAAAUGCUAUUGCAGUAGUUAUAGUAGCUUUGUGUUAUUGUUGCUCUUUUACUAAUUUGAUUCUUGCUGAUUAUUUAAAUUAAUAUUCUUUAUUUUAUAGUUAGAGUAAUAUUUUUUACAUAUUUGAUGAAUUGUAUAUUUCAGAUUUAUUUUUUUAGGCUAUCAUCGAUGAUCAAUGAUAAUAAAUAAAAUAAUUAUUUCGAUAAUAUCUACCCGCUGCAUCGUGCGGGUAACUACACUAGUGAAAUAUUAAAGCGCUAUUUUUUAGCAACUUAAUUAGUUUUUACCGUAAUUAUCUGUUUCACAAGACAUACGACUCGGACUGAACCCUCCAUACUUGCUUUUUGUCGUGUGCCCUUCAGCACUAUUCCUUUUUCUUUUCUCUUGAAGUUCGAAACUUGCAUAUAGCAGGAUUCAAACUUGAAAACUAAAUGCCCCAAGGAUAAGGAUAGGGUACCAACUAAACAAUCUAAAUAGUAAUAGUAAUAUUGCAAGGUGACAAUUUCAAUCCACGCCUUCUGCUUUGCGUCGGUGUAAUUAAGAAUCUCAAAUGGGGCGGGCGCAAAGAUCAUGCACCCUUGGGCGUGGAUUAAUUUCCACUAUGAUCCUGCCAUCCAUCUGAAAGGUGGCAUAGAUUUUAAACAUCAGCAAUUAUUUGAUGAUCUGUGGAAAACAUUAGCAAUUAUUUGAAAUCGAUUAAUCGAUAAGAUUAAUCUGCACGUAAGAAAGUUUUCGUGGAAACAAGGACGCAAGAAAUUUGCAACACUUCCGGCAUUUUGCAAACAGGCAUCACGCUUGAACGUGCCACAUACCGCAUCAUUUAUUGCCAACCAGAACUCAGGGUGGUGGCAGCGCCGUUAUUUCGAAAGAAGAAAAAAGAAACCAACUUUCCCUGGCUAUAGACAGGAAUUCUAAUGCGGCAUGUUCAUUAAGCUUAUUAAUCACAAUUUCUAACAACCAUAAUAUAUGAUUGUCAUACUUGUGAGACCCAGAUAGUUUUAUAUAUAAAAUAUAAUAGGGCCAAACUCUUAACCUGGCUUAAAUAUAUUGGAUGGUGGUAAGACUCAAGAUGUUAAUAGAGUUAAGCGUGCUAGAACGAGAGUUGUCCUAGAAUGGAUGACCUCCUCGAAAAUUGGGACGUCACAAUGUUAAAAAUUAGUGCUAAACUUAUUUUUUUGUUUCCUUUUGUUUACUAGUUUAAUAAGUGUAUUUAUAGGAGCCCAAUGGUCUAUUGUUUAAAUGGGCCUCUUUUUGCUCGUUUUGAGUCAAGUUGACUUAUGGCUUAUUUUGGGCUAAGUGAGCCAAGUUGGACUACAUGGGUUUUUAGUUAGUGGGUCAAAAGAGGAAAAAAAGAGAGCUUCUUCUCUUAAGCUUCUAAGAGGGUGUUUGGUCUAGCUUUUAAAAAGCGCUUUUGGGCUGAAAAGUGAUUUUCGGCUCAAUAGAGCGUUUGGCAACUUACUUUUAAAAUCUGAUUCUACUUUUUAAAAUCAAAAAACUGAUUUUGAAGGCCCCAGAAUCAGAAGAAGAAAAAAGCUGCUUCUUGAAAUCUGAUUUUGAUUUUGGAUUAAAACUUCAAUUUUUAAUUUUUAUUUUAAUUUCAAUAUUUAAAUUUAAAUUUUAUUUUAAUUUUUAAUUUUCAGAUUCAUUUUUGAAUUUUUAAAUUUUAACAUUUAAAUUUUAAAUUUUGAAAAAUAGAUUUCAAAUUUUAAAUUUUAAAUUUUAAUUUAAAAUUUCAAAUCGAAAAUUUUAGAUUUCAAAUUUUCAAAGUUAAAAUUUCAAAUUUCAAAUUUCAAUGUAAAAAUUUAAAAUUUUUAAAUUUCAAAUUAUAAUAUUUAAUCUUCAAAUUAUAAAUUCAAAUUUUUAAAUUUUAAAUUUUAAAAUUUUAAAUUUUAAAUUUUAAUAUUCAAAUUUUAAAUUUUAAAUUUUAAAUAUUAAAAUUUUAAACAUUUAAAAUUUUAAACAUUUAAAAUUUUAAACUUUAAAUUUUAAAUAUUCAAAUUUUAAAUUUUUAAAUUUUAAAUUUCAUAAUUAUUUUAAAUUUUAAAUUAAAUAUAUUUUUUAAUAUUAUUUAUUAUUUAUACUUCAUAAUAUUAUAUUUUACAUUUACAUUUAAAUUAAAUUUUAAAUUUUUUAUUUAGCAUCUUUAAAUUAAAAUUAAAUUCUAUAUUUAAAGUUUGAAAUUUAAUGUUAAUUAUAUUUUCUAUAUUAAAAUUUUAUAUUUUAAAAUUCAUAAUUAUAUAUAUUUUUAAAUUUAUAUUUAUAUUUUUAAAUUUUAAAUUUCAUAAUUAUUUUAAAUUUUAAAAUUUUAUAUUAUUAUUUAAAUUAGAUUUUAAAUUAUUUUAAAAUAAAAUUUAAUAAAAAUAUUAAUUUAUGCAAACAUCAAAAAAAAAUUGCCAAACAGCUUUUCAAAAUCAAUUCAGAAAAAUCAUUUUUAUCUAAACUCUGCCAAACGCUAUACAACUUUUAACCAAAAUCAUUUCUCCAAACCAAAAUCACUUUUUCAGAAAUCACUUUUUCAAAAGUUAGGCCAAACAUGCCCUAAAUUCUCUUUGUUUUGGAGUUUCUCUCAAGUGCAAGAGAAAUGUGAAAGAGGAUCCAAAGGUGGUUGGAUUUUUGCUAGGUUUGAGGUGGGUGACCUCUAAUCUACCUCUUCUCCUCUCUUGUGAACAUUCAUUGUAAGGUGUUUUGAUUGAAUGUUCAUUUGGUCUUUUUCGAUUUUCAUUAUAUGGUAUUUUGGAUACUCUUCGUGAAGUUAUUUAAUUUUAUAUGUGGAAUUGUUUGAGAUUAUUAUUGUGAGCUUUCUAUUUCUCCAUUCUUGUCUUCUUCGGUGGUUGUGCGAUCUUAGGUGUGUAGGAAACUUGAAUUUUCGGUUUCUACACAGCGGAGGAAAGGGUGCGCUCGGGUUGGAGCUGGUUCUACUUUUCUCUUCACACAAUACUAAUUAAGCAUAGAUUUAUAGAAACUAAUAGUACAAAUAACAAAUACUUUUUUCCAUCUCUCUAAGAGGACAAAACUUGAGCAGAGACUGAUGCGUUGGAGAGCUUCCAAUAUGCUAUAAUGUGUUAGUGUUUGCACAUAUUUUAAAUAAUUUAAUUUUAUAUAUAUAUAUAUAUAUAUAUAUAUAUAUAUAUAUAUAUAUAUUUCAUAAACCUGAACUCGUUUUAAAUCCGCUAUGGAGAAAUGAUCCGAUGUUAGUCAUGUGAAAAGCUAUAUACUUUUAUUAUCGAUACUAACCCUCUAAUCCAAACUAAUCCAGGGGCGUCCUUUUCUUCUGUAAUCUUGUCACUUCUAAUUUUAGAAUACUAAAAUCCAAAAAAGAAAAUUUCAAAUUAUAGAGAAAAGGAUUACUGUUUGUAAUCCUUCAACCCUCUUUAUUGGUUAUUAACAUAUCAUUUCUCUUAUCCUUUAGAUCACUAUUUCCACAAGUUUCUAAAAACGAAUUUCAAAUUGAUUAAAAAAUAUUCAAAAUUAAAAUUUUAAGAUAUGUGCAAGAAUUAAUAUGUGGUAAUGGAUCGGAGACUUUCGAACAGUAUUAGGGAGCUUCCCACUCAAGUUUUUUUUUUUUUUUUUUUUUUUUCUCUAAGAGCACGCUAGUGUAUGCGUUUAGAAUUUCAAAUCCCUAAUGUAAAAUUUAGAAAUCGAAAAUUAAGUUGCAAUAAUUUAAGGAAUACCAUAAUUAUGCACAGAAGGAAACUAGACUAAAAGGUGUAUAUAUUUUUUUGGUCCUCAUACUACUAUGAGGGUUGUGACAGUUUAGCCGUCAAAUUUUAAUUUGUUGUAAUUUCUGAUUCGAAGUAUGAGGCGCGUAAUCCUUUAGCCCUCAAAUUUUAAUUAAUUGUAUUUUCUGGCUCGAAUCAUGAGGCAUUCAAUAUUUUAGUUCUCAAACUUACUGAUUUGUAGCAAAAUUCUAUUUACUGAUGAAACAAUAAUUAAGGUGCUAUGCCAUUUUGAUAGUAGUAGCCCAUCAAUACUUAUUCCAAAAUAAUUUGGUUGUAAGACUUGAUUGUAAUAAUUUUGAAAAUUUGCGACACACCGUAUAUAUGGUUUGAGCCAGAAAGGACAAUGAAUUAAAGUUUGAGGAAUAAAGUGUCGCGCGUCCUAUGAUUUGAGGACAAAAAAGUGUAAUUUACCGUAUAUCUUUACCUUCUUUGAAAGCGGGUGCUGCUGUCUGUGAAGUAGAUGACCCCACUAUCCUGAUCAAUAUCAAGGCUAUUGGUGAAGCGAAAUGGAAGGCCCUGGGCUUGUGUUGCAAUUGGCCUGGUUGCAUUGCUCUUAUCCUUCCCCUCGCCAUCCGGAUCACCCACCACCCGUAGCCCUAGAUAUGCAUCAGCCACAUAGAGUUCCCCUGUUCUCUCGUUGAACUGCAACCCUAACGGGCGCCCGCACUCGUGCUCUCGCUUUGGAUCCUGAGAGCCUCUGCACUUAUCCAACCUUCAAAAUCAAAAGCAUACAUCAUUAAUUAUUACUUUCUCUUACCUUAAACAAAAAAAAAAAAAAAAAAAAAAAAAAAAAAAAAAAAAAAAAAAAAAAAAAAAAAACAAACAGAGAGAGCUAGUUAGGUAACAAUGCAUGCAGGUGGAGACCUCACUCAUCUAUAACCCAUCUUGAAACCAUUAAAAAAAAAAGCUUAAGAAUUAUAUGAGCUUUUAUCUUUGGUUACAUUGUGUAAAAGUCGUGUGCUCACAACAAUCGAAGAACAUGAGAAAAUUAGGAUUGAGUGGUUAAUUUAGCAAUUUGAUUGUUUAUGUGAUAUAUUUUAGGAUGUGUUUGGUUCGCGCUAUCCUUUUUAGAUUCCUAGUAAUCUAAUAGGAAUAAAAAAAUAUGACGGUAUUUGGCUAAACGCACUAAGUAAUCUAGUUGGUAAUACUGAAUUUACUUGGGAAUAAGAUGCAUCCCAAAAUACUCAUCUCAUCCCUUUAAGGGAGGGUGGGUAUCCUUAUGUUAAUGGAUUGGAAUAAUUAUAAUAUGUCUUAUCUCUUUCUUUCUUUCCACUUACCGGCUAAUUGGUAUUAUUUUUCUUUACACUCUAACAUCAUAUCUCUCUCUAAACUUAUCUUUUUCUUUUUAAACUUCAACAUUUUUUCUCUCUAUAAAUUAAGCUAUUUCUCCCCCUCUUUUUCUAAAAUCUCAACCCUCUCAUUUUCUCUAAUCUCAACUCUAUUUCUCUUCCUAUUUUUUAAAUUAUGCUCUCUCUUCCUAACCUAUAUUCUCUUUCUCUUUUUUCUAAAAAGAUGUUGAAAUUUUUUAUAGUAUUAUUUAAAAUUAAAUAAAUAAAUAAAUUAUAUAUUUUUUGUAUUCUUAAAUAAUAUGACUAAAUAAUAUGAUCGUACGAAUCAAACACCGAAAUACUAUAUUCUUAGUAAUAGAAUGAAUAGAAAUAAGAAUCUUGGAUAUCUUUUUACUCAUAGUAAUCUUUCAUAGUGCGAACCAAACGCGCCUUUAAAGUAUUCUUUUUUUUCCUUUUUAACAUCCGUUCACUACUUACUUUGAUUGUUUUUGUUUACUUUGGUCAAGAGACCUGCAAUUCAUCAUUGUAACAAUCUGAAGAAUAAAGGAGUAGAGUAGUUAAAAGGAGUAGUAAAAGUGGUAGCUUUACUAGUUAAGCGAGGAAUAAGGGCAACAGCAGGGUGGAGAGGAGCGAGCUCGGCGGAGCAAUCCGGCGAGAGGCUGUGCGGGCGGAACUCCGGCAGGGCGUCAUUGGAGCUAGGUCAUCAUCGGAGCGAUUUGGCGACGGGGCUAGGGCAUCAUCGGAGCUGAGGAGGAAAUAGAAGGAUCGAGAAGGAAGAAAUGGGGUCAGACAGAAUCUAGAUAGCUGGUGGAUCAGGUGGGCCGGAUCUCGGAUCGGAGGAAAAAUGUGAACCCAAGACCGGCCGGGCGGUGGGUAGUGCGGAGAAGGGCUAUCCGACGCCCGUUUGCCCGUUUAUAGGCAGAUCGGGUGGCCCGAACCUUGGAUCGGGGGGAAAUGGCAAACCCAAGACCCACCGGGCAAUGAAUAGUGCGGAGAAGGGCAACCCGAGAACCGCUUACCCGACUUCCAGGCAAUUUGGACCAAACAAGCCCACUCAAGGCCCACAAGGCAUCAGAAUUCAACCCGUCAGGCCUCAUUCCCCAUUUUGACAAAUUGCAGUUUAGCCCUCGUAGACUAGGUGUUUUUCAUUCCAGUUCAAUUUACUAAGUAGUAUAAAUACCAUAUUAUCAUGUAAAACAGGAUAGGAAUGAAAUGAAUUAGCAUCUUUUUCCCAAAAAGUUCUUCUCCUCUAAACCCUUCUUCUCCCAUUCUCCUCUAUCUCUAAUUCCCCACUUCUAAUCUCUAUCCCAACUACUUAUCUCUCUCUCUCUCUGAGAUCUCUGGUGUUUGACUGUGGAGGCUUGUCGACAGCUNUGCGGACCAGGAUCGAGGCAAGGGCGUCGCGAGUUAGAGCCCUACCCGACGUGCUGAGCUAGAGGUGCCCUACUGCAGGUAGAUGUUUUGUUUCGAGUUUAUAUACAUAGUUGACUUAACUCGCCAGUGCGAGUAGCUCUGUAUUUUGGAUCCGAACUAUGUAUAUGAAACUCUGUUUUAUAUAGCUUCAGUUUUCUCUAGCAGCUCUCUACUACUGUUUGUAGUAGUGUUUGAUUUACAGGUACAGCUAUCGCUUCGUAUACAGGGGAAAUUCCUUUGUAUAUGGCGGAUUUGUCGGCGUGCCCGGGGAAAGUGUAAUCCGGGGCGUGACACUCUCUCUCUCUGCACUGAUAAUCUCCCCAAUUCUCAUCUUUAUUUUUCCAAUUCCCACCUAUCUCUACCUCUACUUUCAUCUCUUUCCCUUACCUCUUCUAGCCUCAGUUGCCUCAGAUCCGUAUCGGGGGCACUAUAAUCAUUUUGGAAGAGGAUUUUCGCAUAUUCAAAUUAACAAUCCACCAACCAAUUGCUAAUAAUAAUGCUAAAACCGCCGCCAUCUAAAAGUGUUGGUCGGUGUAUUUCGUGGUUUUGAGAUCCGGGUGGAUUUAAGUACCAUUUUGAGCAUAAAAUGUGUGUGUAUUCUGACCUACAAGCACGAUCAUUUUUUUUUUUUCUAAAAGAAGCUCAAAACAAAUUGAAACUUGAAGGACCACAAAAUUUGCACAAGGGUGACGACCUUUUUUCUAAAAGAGCUCAAAACAAAUUGAAACUUGAAGGACCACAAAAUUUGCACAAGGGUCUCAACCCCCCCCCCCAAUGAUCUUAUUCUACCCGUUUGCUAUUGUGAAAUAAAGUGGUAUAACUAUUAGAUUUUAAAGUGUUUUUCUAUAUAUAUAUAUAUAUAUAUAUAUAGAGUUCGGCUGCUAUGCUAUCGAUAGCACCAAGUACUUGGUGCUAUCAAGUUUUCUUCCGUUAGAUUACUCUCUUUGAUUAUUUUUACCCGUUAGAUUAUACUAUUCAAACAACUACCCACUCAACCCUACGACACCCACAUCAUCCUAACCGUAUAUUUCUCAAUCCAACAGCUAAAAAUUCAAUAGCACUAAUAAUUUGGUACUAUUGAUAGUAUUCCAGCCUAGUUUUAUAUAUAUAUAGAAUUGAGCUAGAAUAUUUUUAGAAGUAUCACCGCCUUGGUACUUCUAGAUUUCUAGCCCUUAGAUCUACUCCUUGAUCUACUCCUUCAUUACUAAUAACUAUUGGAUCAAACACUAUUCCACCUACCACCACCUUACACCAUCAUCCCAACCCUACAUCUCUCCAUCCAAAGAUUAAAAACUCAAAAGCACCAACCUCUUGGUGCUUUUGGGAGUAUUCUAGCUCGACUAUAUAUAUAUAUAUAUAGGCUACUAUACUAUNUUAUGUUAAUGGAUUGGAAUAAUUAUAAUAUGUCUUAUCUCUUUCUUUCUUUCCACUUACCGGCUAAUUGGUAUUAUUUUUCUUUACACUCUAACAUCAUAUCUCUCUCUAAACUUAUCUUUUUCUUUUUAAACUUCAACAUUUUUUCUCUCUAUAAAUUAAGCUAUUUCUCCCCCUCUUUUUCUAAAAUCUCAACCCUCUCAUUUUCUCUAAUCUCAACUCUAUUUCUCUUCCUAUUUUUUAAAUUAUGCUCUCUCUUCCUAACCUAUAUUCUCUUUCUCUUUUUUCUAAAAAGAUGUUGAAAUUUUUUAUAGUAUUAUUUAAAAUUAAAUAAAUAAAUAAAUUAUAUAUUUUUUGUAUUCUUAAAUAAUAUGACUAAAUAAUAUGAUCGUACGAAUCAAACACCGAAAUACUAUAUUCUUAGUAAUAGAAUGAAUAGAAAUAAGAAUCUUGGAUAUCUUUUUACUCAUAGUAAUCUUUCAUAGUGCGAACCAAACGCGCCUUUAAAGUAUUCUUUUUUUUCCUUUUUAACAUCCGUUCACUACUUACUUUGAUUGUUUUUGUUUACUUUGGUCAAGAGACCUGCAAUUCAUCAUUGUAACAAUCUGAAGAAUAAAGGAGUAGAGUAGUUAAAAGGAGUAGUAAAAGUGGUAGCUUUACUAGUUAAGCGAGGAAUAAGGGCAACAGCAGGGUGGAGAGGAGCGAGCUCGGCGGAGCAAUCCGGCGAGAGGCUGUGCGGGCGGAACUCCGGCAGGGCGUCAUUGGAGCUAGGUCAUCAUCGGAGCGAUUUGGCGACGGGGCUAGGGCAUCAUCGGAGCUGAGGAGGAAAUAGAAGGAUCGAGAAGGAAGAAAUGGGGUCAGACAGAAUCUAGAUAGCUGGUGGAUCAGGUGGGCCGGAUCUCGGAUCGGAGGAAAAAUGUGAACCCAAGACCGGCCGGGCGGUGGGUAGUGCGGAGAAGGGCUAUCCGACGCCCGUUUGCCCGUUUAUAGGCGGAUCGGGUGGCCCGAACCUUGGAUCGGGGGGAAAUGGCAAACCCAAGACCCACCGGGCAAUGAAUAGUGCGGAGAAGGGCAACCCGAGAACCGCUUACCCGACUUCCAGGCAAUUUGGACCAAACAAGCCCACUCAAGGCCCACAAGGCAUCAGAAUUCAACCCGUCAGGCCUCAUUCCCCAUUUUGACAAAUUGCAGUUUAGCCCUCGUAGACUAGGUGUUUUUCAUUCCAGUUCAAUUUACUAAGUAGUAUAAAUACCAUAUUAUCAUGUAAAACAGGAUAGGAAUGAAAUGAAUUAGCAUCUUUUUCCCAAAAAGUUCUUCUCCUCUAAACCCUUCUUCUCCCAUUCUCCUCUAUCUCUAAUUCCCCACUUCUAAUCUCUAUCCCAACUACUUAUCUCUCUCUCUCUCUGAGAUCUCUGGUGUUUGACUGUGGAGGCUUGUCGACAGCUCUGGAGAGUGUCGGGACAAGUCCGAGUCGCGUUGACGUCAAAUAGACGAAAAACGGACUCCGUGCGACGCGAGGGCAGCAUUCAGCGAAGGAAUCUGCAAAAUAGCAGAUUUUCCUGCUUGCUGUACCGGUACAAGACUAUGCUGUACCGGUACAACCAGCGCGGGGAAUGCUUGCUGUACCGGUACAAGGGUUUUCUGUACCGGUACAAGCUACGCGCACAAAUUUAGCUGCUCUCGGGUUGGCUCUUGUACCGGUACAGGAGCCCGUGUACCGGUACAAGGGAGUUGNAUAUAUAUAUAUAUAUAUAUAUAUAUAUAUAUAUAUAUAUAUAGUGUAGAGCUACUAUGCUAUCGGAAGUAUAAAGUAAUUGGUGUUUCCAAUUUUUUAGCCCUUACAUCAAAGAUUCUACGGUUGGGAUGAUAGCGGCCCCCUUAGGGUUAAGUGGUCCCCAUUAGUUAAUAAUAUGUAGCACACUGGACCUUUGUAAAUUGCGAGGUUCGAGAGUUUGAUGUGUACUCCGAACUUUUUCACACUUGGUGGAAGGCCGUAGACGGUAUUCCGGCCUAAAAGUUCGAUCUCUAGAGUUUUGACUUUGUCCUGAGAGUUUUCACUCUCGGGGACCGGUCCCUGAUAUGAGAGAUCGGACCCCUCAGAACAGUGUUGCGGCAGCCGGCGAGGCAACCGAUCCCUGGCGGGUUAGAUCGGUCCCCGAGCGCUUUUUCGCGGGGAGAGACCAGUCCCACGCGGGGAGAGACCGGUUCCCGAACGUUGGAUUUUUGGGUUCGACCUGAGAGACCGGUCCCAUGCGGGGAGAGACCGGUCCCCCCUAGGCGAAAUUGCCCAGUCCGGGCUGAUGCAAGGAUUGAAAUGUUGGGUGACCUAGGUGGAUUUUGUGCAUGAGGGGGCUUUUAGAGCCACUUCUCCUCUCUCUUUCUCAUAUUUCUCACCCUCUCAGAUCCUCUAGAGAGAGAAGAAGAAGAAGAAGAAGAAGAGGAGAAGGAUAGCAAGCUUGGAGACUUUGGAGCAUCUCCCUCUCCCUCGUUUCUCACUUUUGGAGGCUUGGGGCUUGUGGUUAGAGCUUGUUAGUGGAUCCAUCUUCAACCUUAGAAGAUUUGGAGCUUGCGUGGAGGCAUCUUGAGAGGUUAGUAUCUUGAUUCUAACCUUUGAUCCUUAUUUUGGUAGGUUUUACCAUAUGAAACCCUAGAUUUGGAUUUUAGGGUUAGAUUUAGGGAUUUUCAAUUUGAGGGCUUUGAGACUCAAUUGAUUGACUUAGAACCUUUCUCUAGGUUGGAUUGGAAGGGUUCUUGCCUCCAUUUGGAGUUUGAGAGAGGAUUUCGUCACUUGAGGUGAGUCUCCUCCAUUUUAGCCUAGGUUGCUUGUUGAUUGAGUUUAGGGUUGAUCGUAAGGUUCAUUUAACCCUUGUUCCUACAUCUUUAGAGUGCUAGGGGGCUAGUGGACACCUUCGUCGGAGCGUACGAAGGGUUUUGGUAUCAUCGGUGGAUUUGGCUUCAUGAACACGGGGCAAAAUGGCCCCUAUGUUUUCUAUACUUGUCGUAAAGUAUUUUUGAAUGCAAAUCCAUGCUAAAUAUGAAUUAUGUGAAUUUUAGAACACUUAAAAUGCAUGCCUCAUGUAUGAUGAAAAUUUUACUCUAUAUAGUAGAGCCUUAUGGAUAUGCUGCAUGCAUGUGAAAAGUAAUCGCAUUAGCGAGUGAAAAACUUAUCUUCUAUAUUUAAAAUGACUCAUAUUAUGCAUUCGGGAAUAUAGUUACCAUGCUUGGACUUAUUGAACAAUAGUGUCAUAAAGGGGCACUUGAAACUAGUAAACUAUGAAACUACAACAUAGAGACAUGAUGACAAAGUGAUAGGCCAUCGGACAUAUACUAUUUUCCAUGUUGGAGACAUGAUGACAUAGUGAUGGGCCGUCGACGCAGUUGACUUAUAUUCCAUAUUUUGACAUGAGGACUUAGUACUUGAGACAUACUGAUACGCAUGCUUGCCAUUGUGCUCAUUCGCACAUGCUUGUGAGGGUCGCUCCCUACAGCCAGCACUCCGGAGUUGGCCAUCGCGAUAUGUUCGCCGUGCGGGAUUGGGCGCCGAAGUGGAUUGUCAUGGAAAAGGCUCAUUGCUAGGGUGGGGAUGCUGACUACUACGGGGCCAUUAGGUACGGUAAAGCCAGACAGCCUUCGGAUGGGUCUUAUGCUAGACAGCCUUCGGGUGGGUCUUAUCAAAGUUGAACUUUAAACAGUCAAAGUGACAAGUGGACAUUGACUAGAAUAGUAAACAAUGACAUCUUUACUAUUUACAUUGUGAACGUUGGGUUAGUUGCAUACUUAUGCAUUUACAUGUGGGAUACUCUUGUGCACAUACUUAUAGUAGUUGCUUUCUUACUUAUGCAAAUCAUGCUAAGUAAAGACAUCAUGGUUGAGUAGUAUUCAUAUUUAUUUCCUAGUUGUUCUUACCGCUUUUGCUUGUACUUAUACACUGACCCAUUUUUGUAGCUUUUGGGCCUAGUGGCGCAUUUCAGUGAAGUCAGUAAUUGCCCACUGGGAACUAUUAUUUAAUAGUUCUCACGCCCCUGUUUCUAUGUUUCUUUUCACAGCCUUCGGCACCGGCGGAGGCACGGGAUCACUGCAAGGGAGUCGCGUAACUAGUUAGCGGGGAGCUACUUUUGAGCUUAUGUGGUUUAUUCUUUCCUUUUGUACUAGAGAGAGAGAGAGAUUUUGAGUACCAUGUAUAGAGAGACCACCUAUAUACUCUUUAUGUUUAAGUUUUGUAUUUGGGAUUUUCCUUUGUACUACUUUAUGGCUUUAUUAGUGGAUUUCAGUUUAUACUUCCCCCUUUGUGUAGAACUUAGUUAUUUACUUUGCUCUGAUAUCGUUAGAUUUCUUUAUUCUACUGCUUUAUUUAUCGUUUUUUUUUAGACGUCUUAUAUGUUUUAGACAUAUGGCGGGUCUGGGCACGCGCCGGGCGGGCUUCCGCUGGGUCCCGGGGCGUGACAUAAUAUUAAUCCAAUGGUUAGAAAUGAUCAAUGGGGUUGAUCUACGGGCUAAAAAAUUGAAAGCACCAACUACUUUAUACUUGCGAUAGCAUAGUAGCUCUACUCUUUAUAUAUAUAUUUUAUAUAUAUUUUAAGUAUAUGUCCGGCUCUAUGCUAUUUAGCACGAAGCACUUGUGACUACGAAGUUUCCAGCCGUAGAUUACUUUUUGAUUAUUUCACCGUGGAGAUAUACUAUUCAAACACCACCCACUCAACCUAGAGCUCACUCACCUAACCGCGCACAUCUUCUUAAUUCAAAAGGUGGUUAAAAUGUUAGCACAAUGAUUUGUGCCAUUAUUAUGAUUAUUAUAUAAUAUAUAUAUUAUAUAGAUAUUUAUUAUAUAUAAAGUCGGCCUGGGAUACUAUCUUAUCACGGCAUUUGGUACUUCAAGUUUUUCUGCCGUUGAUUAGACUUAUAUUUUCACCGGUGUGUCGACUUAUACUAUUCAAUAAACUUUGCACUCAACCUAGGGGGGCCACUCAUGACCGUAAUCACACAUCUUUUAAUCCAAGGCAGAACUAUGAGCACAAUGUCAUUGGUACUAUUAAUAGUAUUACAGGCUAGUUAAUAUAUAUAGUUAUUAUAUUAUAAUAUAUAGUAUAGUAUAUUAUGUAUAGUGUACGGAUCUAUCUUUCGAGAGUCGAGCUUCGUACUUGUAGUUGUUUUCUAUGGGUUUCCGAUUCGGGCGUCGGCAUCCAUUAGACAUGAUAUCUAUUGCUAUUAGAAUAUUGAAACAAAUUCAUAUUUUUUGACUUGUUUGCCUAUGUGAACGAGUAGCCUCAAUGAAGGCUGAAAUAAAUUUUAUAACCAAAUAGAAUGAAUGACUCAAUUCAAUUGGAAGUAUUGUUUUGCUAUUGUGUUAAGAUAGAUUUUUAUUAAAGUUUCAUUGUAAUUUGGUACUUCUACACCGUUGACUUAAAACGUGUCACAUUCAGCGUUAAAUAGUCUUUUAUGAGACAUGUGAUCGCUUGUAUAAAUGAUGUACGAAUUAUUAAAAUUUGGUUUUUAGAUAGUUUCUUCAAUAGAUAGAUUAUGUUACGGCGCGGCGUCGUCGAAUUUGGAUGUCUAUAUCGAAACAAUUAAUACGGAGGCCUUCGUGUUUCGAAUGCGAAGAGUAUCUCUCUCUCUUCAUUCUUCUGACGCUUAUUAUAUUUUAAUAUUUAUAUAUAUUUUAGAAUUGAUGGAAUACUAUUCAUAGGUAAAACGCUCUUUUUGCUAUCAAUGUUUUUAAACCAUUGAUGAAAAAUGUGGCGUCAGGAUGAUAUUAGUCAGUAGAGUUGGCGUGGUCUCCUAGUGUUGUUGGUCCCAUUGGAGUUAUGAGUAUUUAUCGCAUGGUUGAAUAAUGAAAAGAGUUGAUCAUUGAAGGCCAAAAAUGGGUGAACAAUGGAUUUGCUAUAUAGUACCAGAUCCACUCUAUAAAUAUUUUUAAUUUAAAUUUAAUUUUAUUAUUUUAUAUAUAGAGGAGAGAUCGAGUGCCAUGGAGGAGAUAUGUUAGUGUGAUUAUUCCUUGGUCUGCAUAGACGGAAGAGAAAGUCAGAAUAGCUCAAGAGUUUACGAGCAUGAGAAGAUGGCUAUUAGGAGAUGAGAGGGAGAGAGACUCGGCAGAGUGAAUGAGGGUCUGAAAGAGAGACGAGAGAGAGAGAGAGAUAGGCGGUACUGUGCUAUUAGCUUGUGGCUCCUAGGUAUCUAAACACUUUAUUAUUUGUAUGUGGUUGGUAUAGGUUGAGGAGGAUAAAUGGGAGAUUUCAAGAGAAGAGAUAAGAACCUUAAUUCUUUUCAAUUUCUCUUUUCUUUCUCAUCCUAGCUUCAUCAAAAUUGAUGGAUGGGUUAGACUUAGGGCCAAAGGGCUGCAUGUUUCUCUUAAUGCACAAUAACCUACUCUUCUCUUUUCUCCUCUCUCUCUCUCUCUCUCUCUCUCUCUCUCUCUCUCUCUAUAUAUAUAUAUAUAUAUAUAUAUGGGUUAAUUGCAUACACGUCCCCGCAAAUAUAGUGAAUUGCAGAUAUAUUCCUGCAAAACUCAACUUUCAAAAGUUAUCCCUGCAAAAGUCCUAAUGUAUUCAGAUAUGUUCCUCUGGUUAAGAUCCGUUAGAAAACUAUUUAUUUUUUAAUAGUGGAUUCGUGAAAUAACAUUUUUGCCCUCUUCCUCUGUUUCUUCCUUUUCGGGCUGCGGGAGCGAACGACGGUGGCGGCGACGUUGCAGAGCUUGUCGGAUCGGCAGCACGAGCAGGAGGUACGUCGCCCGUACGCCCCAAUCGCGCGCAGCAUCUCCCCGAUCACAAACUUGGAGAGCACAACAAUGGUAGAUCCCGCCCCAGAAGCCCCGUGGUGAACGCGGCGAGGCCGUAGAUGAUGGUGGAUCCCACCCCCUUGCUCGCCCCCGUUGUCCCCGAGGAGUAAAGCAGCGUCGCAGGGUCGUCCUGGCACACGAGCUCGCGUAUCGGGUAGGGAAUGGGGUUGGGGUCGGGGUCGGGAUGGGCCGUGAUCAUGUCGGCGAUGGUGCAGAGCAUCCGGGGAUCGUCAUUGGCAGUAGGGGCCAGGCGGGACUCAUCGAGAAGGACGGCAGGGCGUGGAAGGAGCUUGGGGAUGAGGGCACGUGGGGUGAAGGCAACGACGGGGCAGCGUCGACGACCUCCUUGGCGAUCUCAACGAGGGUGUUGAGGGGUAGUGGUGAGCACGGCGCCGAGGCCGUCAGAAGCGCUCGUGACGAUGGCCCACGAGGGCACGAUGAUCACGGCUCCUUCUUCGCCGCGAUCGCUCGCCGCAUCUCCUCCCUCGCCGGCGAUGACGACGAUGACGAUGACGACUCCGACAAGCAGAAGAGGAAGAGGAAGAGGAAGUGGAAGAGGGGUAAAAUUGUAAAUUCACCUUAUUAAUUAACCAUGAUUAGGCAUUUUAGCUGUGGUUAAUUAAGUUUCUCCAAUGGAUUCUAACGACAGGGACAUCUAAAUACAUUAAGAUUUUUACAGGGAUAACUUAUGAAAGUUGAGUUUUACAGGAAUAUAUCUGUAACUCACUAUGUUUGCGAGGACGUGUAUACAAUUAACCUUAUAUAUAUAUAUAUAUUUAUAUAAUAUAUAUAUAUAUAUUUAUUACUAUAUACUAUAUAUAUAUAAUAAUAUAGAGUAGGCCGUAAUCUUGUAAAAGUUCAUGGGGGUGAUACUUGUGUGUUUUUAACCCUUGGAUGGAGAGAUUGACGGUUGAGAUGAUGGUGGUAAGGUGGUGGUAGGUUGGUGGUAGGUGGAAUAUGAUGUUUACAUCCAAGGGCUAUUAAAUAAUCGAAAAGUAGAUCCAAUGCGUUAAAAUCUAAUAGCACCUAUGUUGGCUGAUACUGGUAAAAGUAUCAUAGCCUCAACUCUAUAUAUUAUAAUAUAUAUAUAUAUAUAUAUAUAUAUAUAAUUGAGCUUUUAUACUUUUAAAAGUAUCAAAUCAUUGGUACUUGUAGAUUUUCAGCCUUUGGAUGAAGGAAUAUGCGACUAAGAUGAUAGUGGUCUCCUAGGAUUGAAUGGGUGGUUGAUUAAAUAGUGUAAUCUAACAGAUGAAAAUAAUCAAAAAGAUAGAUCUUUUAAACAUAUACAUAGCCAAACGGAAAAUAGUUACUAGUGAACCGAAAUGGUUUACUAAUAAAGAAAUCAAUUUACUAGUAAAGUAAACGUACAAUCAUAUGAUAUCAAUUUUGUGUUUACCCACAUUAAUUUAAUAUCUUUACAUAUUAAAUGUAUUGAAUUUAUAUUUUUCUCAAAUAAUAAAUAUUAUACUAAUUUACAGAUUUUAUCCAAAUCACUUAAUAAAAAUUUUAAAUUUUCUUAAAUAGUGAUGCAACAUUAUUUUCUAAAUUAAUGGAAUUCCAAUAUUCCUUAAAUAAUAAUGCAAAAUUGUUGCCUAGAUUAGUGGAACGGUUGUCAAUCCAAACUUUUCUUUAAAUUUUGCGAUAUUUAAUUCCGAAAUAUUCUCAGCAUGAACUACCUGUGAAAACCUAUUACAAGUUAAAAUGACAAUUUCACCGUUUAUCUAUACUUACUAUAUAUAUAAAAACGUAUAGAAAUUUCAACAAUGACAGACGGAAUCUAAAAAAGGAAUAAAAAAAAUAUUUUCUAUAUUUCUUAGGAACGGGUAUGAACGGAUAUGAUCAUUUAAAAGAAUAUUUCCUAUAUUUCUUAGGAACGGGUACGAACGGGUAUGAUCAUUUAAUUAAAAAAAUCUUAAAUAGGAACGAACGGUUAUGAUUAAUCUGUUAAAAAGUAGCAUUCUUAUUCAUCUAUAAAAGAAUUCAAAAAGGAAUAAAAGAAUAUCCCCUAUAUUUCCUAGGGACGGAUAUGAUCAAUUAAUUUAAGAAAUUUUAAAUAAGAACGAACGGUUAUAAUUAAUUUGUUAAAAAAUAGCAUUCUUAUUCAUCUAUAAAUCCAAUUCUACGAACGGUUGUGUAAAUUAAAAAUAAAUGGUUCACUUAAUUAAAAAAAUUGCAAAUAAGAACGAAUGGUUUUGAUUAAUCUGUUAAAAAAUAUCAUUCUUAUCCAAAAACUUUAAUUAUAGUGGAUCAAAAUUAAAUUUUAAAUUUUAAAUAAAUAUGAAUUAAAUUUUGAUGCUUUUUGUUUAAAACACAUAUUUAAAUUUAAAUCAUCAGAAAUAAAAAAAAAUAUAAAAAUAUUUAAUGUAUAUAAAAAAAGAAAUUUAUAGAAUAUUACAAAUAUUUUCUAAUAAAAUAUAACAUAUGAAUUUAUAAAUUAUAAAUUUUUAAAUAAAUAUAAUGUGCGAAUUUAUUUUAAUUUAAAAUAAAUUAAAAUAAUUGUUACGUCCAUUUGCACGUACACUUAACUAGUUGAUCAACAGUUUGGAUUUUUUAUUAUGAUAUAUUUAUGAAAUUAAGUAUCGAAUGAAAUCUCAAAGAUAAAACUAUAGGCUAGUGAAGUAAAACUGUUUAAACCAUAGCGACAAGUGAAAAAGCGCUAAACAGUAGGGGUUCAGUUUGAAGUUCUCCCAAAGUUUUAAGUCUAAGGUCAAGAAUGUCUGCCGACACUCUACUAUCCAUAUUCUAUCCAGAUUUAUUUGAUCUAUUCUACUAAUAUUCCAUGAUGUAGAUUUAUUCAAUGCUUAAAGCUUAGUUUGGUAUUGAGGUCUAUGUAACGCUGUUAAAUAAAUGAACUUGAGAAAAAAGUAUAUAGGAAUAUGCUUCUGCGUUCUCCGGUGGGACCACAGAAAAUAUAUCGUAACUGACUCAUCGCGAUACGGAGAACAUGUACAAUAUUACAUAUGAAAACAAACGGGUAUUUUUCCAACGUACUUUUUUACCACACAUAACACAAUCUCCCCGCAAUCCCAAAUGAAGCCUAACUCUACUACUAUCCAAUUUCGAUCGGUUUAAGAUUAAAGUCUAAGGUCUAGAUUUUAUUCUACCAAAAACUCCACUGUCCAUUUUUAUCCAUCAAAUUUAUUAUUCUACUAAGACUCUCCGGCCAGAAGUGGCUCUGUUUGGCAAUGGAAUUAUGUCACAUAGGAUAAAUUUUUUUAUCCUUUGUAUAUCUCAAUAUUCUAGAAUAGAGAGGAAUAUCAAAAUUUUUUUGUUUGGAUUUAUAUUAAUUUAUACUAGGGUAUAAGCAAUAUGAUGUUUGAUUAAUUUCUUGAAAGAAGAGAAGAAUAGUGAAAAAAGUUAAAUGAAUUUUUUUUUAAAUGCCAAUUUUACCUUUAUGAAUAUCUCACAUUCAUAGCAUAUGUUAUAGAAUAUAUAGCACAUGAAAAAAUAUAAAUAUAUUUUCAAUAAUUGUACAAAGUAAUUUAUUAAUUAAUUAAUCAACAUGAUUAAGAAAUAAUCUUUAUUAUAUAUACACUAUCAAGUAUUAUUACAGUAAUUAAAUUUAUACUAAUAAUAUAUAUAUUAGUAAACACUAUAUAUAGAAAUCGGAUGGGAGGAUGGAAUAAAGUGGGGGUGCGGGGUUGAGGUGUCAUAAAUAGAGGGAGCAUGGGUCAAGGCAUCAUUAAAAGUAGGAAAAAAAAACUACUUGUUUAUUGCCCCACCCUUGAAUUCAUGAGGGAUAAAUUUUAUUCUACUAGGAGAAUAUAAUUAACGGAUUAUUCUAAGAUCAACUGGAAUAACCCGCUUUGACUAGAAUAAAUUAUCCAUAGCAAAUUUUAUUUUGUUUGGAAGAAUAAUAAGGAUAAAAAGUGUUAUUAUGCAGAUAUUCCGUUACCAAACGGAGCCUAAAGUCUAAUGUUCAGAUUUAUUCGCCCAGCUACUAUAACUCUAUGAUCUUAGUUUAUUCUAUGCUUAAAAUUGCAAUUGUUCUCUAUGAUUCCAGUUUAUCUGAAGUAUUUUGUCCCAACUUAUUUUACUAAAACUCAAGAGUAGGGCUUGUGUAAAAGAUUGAAUGCAGCGGAAGUAUUCAUUCGUACCUUAUGCGGAAGCGACUGGCACUAGAAUACGAUGAGUUUGGAUUGUAGAGCUUGAUUCACGUGUUCUCGGAUGGUCGACAAAGGUUUCCUAACGCUCCAAACCCACGGUUUAUCGAACUACGAACGAGCGCGAUUUCUAAUCCGCUGUUCAAGACUGUUUAGAACAAGAGGUUAAUAGAGAAUGUGACACUACAACAGAAUUAGAUUAUAGGGACACAUAUUUGGGACACUUUUGAGUAAGUGUCCCAUUUAUUCUAAAACUUAAAAAAAUAUCUACUAAUACCUAAAUAUAAAGCCCAAUCCAACCAAAAAUAAAAGAUUACUCUACUCAACCCACCACACCCAGUCCAUUUGGCCCGAUUACAAACAGAAAGAAAAAAAAAGAAAAGAAAAAUCAAUUAUCAUCUUUUCUUCUCUCUUCACUCAAUCCACUGAAAUUCUAGACGAAAAGCCUUUCCUGUCGUCCUCCUCCGCCACCGCAGCCAACGAGAUAGAGUUUCGGCGGUUGCUAAAUGUUUAAAUAAGUGUUGGUAAAUUAGCAGCACUCUUUUAGGUUAUAGCGACACUCUUUAACUGUCACUAUAUACCUAGCGACCCCACAUAUAGCAACACUUUUUAAAAGUGUCGGUAAUUUUAGCUGCCGCACUUUUUUGACAUGUACCUACAUUUAAAAGUGUCGCUAUAGACCGUUUUUGUUGUAGUGUGACUUCUCUCUUUCACAAGACGGCUCAUGAAUAAUUCCUCACGAAUUUAUGAUUAUUUUUUUUUUCUUGUUGUUUUUAUGAGAGAAUAAUCUGUAUAUUUCAUAAGGGACCAAAACCUUAAUAGAUAAGUAAAGGAUUAGGCCAAAUCAGUUUAUAAUUAUUAUUUUAAUAUGGCUUAAAUAUAUCUCAGAUUAACUUUACAGCUAGAUUAAGUCUACUCUAAUUAGACAAUAUAAUAACCGUCGGAUCAAGUCUGAUCAUAGACACACCCGAUUUGGUUUAACCGAAUGCCAACACUUUUAAUUAGAAGCGUCAAAUUUGUAACUUUUUGACUCUUGGAUCCCUAGUGUUUACUAAUUGACGGUGAUAAUAAUACAAAUCUAAGGGCUCAAAAGUUGCAAGCCGGUGCUCCCAAAAGUGUAGUAGCUUUAACUCUAGAAGCACAGUUGGUUUAAAAUGAGAAAUGAAAUCGAAAUAAGAAUCGAAAUGGAUAGAAAUUGAAAACGGAAUGAUACAAACCUUCUAAUAUGUUUGGUUCAGAAUAACAAUCAGAACCGAUAUGAUUAUUUCGUGUCUUCAAUAUUUAAAAAAUUUUAAUCUUGAAAAAAUGACUAAAAUACAAAAUAUAAAAAUAAUUUAAAAUUUAGUUUGCACCUAAAUAUAAAAUUAAAUUUAUAAUUUAAGUUCAAACUAAAAGUUAAAUAUUAAAAAUUUAUGUCAAAAUUUUAAAAUGAUGUCAAAGUUUUAAAUAUACAUUUUUCAAAAAAAUUAAAAAUUGAAAUUAAACGAAUAAUUCAAAAUAUAAAAUUAAAUUUAUAAUUUAAAUUCAAACUAAAAGUUAAAUAUUAAAAAUUUACAUCAAAUGUAAUUUUUAAAAAAAUUAAAAUUUAAAAUUGAGAGGAUAAUUCAAAAUGUAAAACUAAUUUUUGAUUUGAUUCAAAUUCAAACUUACAACUAAAUUUAAAUUUAAAUUUAUAGAUCAAUUUCAAAAUGCUUGAUUGAAUUUAUAUUUUAAUUUAAUUUCUAACUCAAAAUCUAGAAUUAAAAAUGUAAUUUCUAAAUUUAAAUUUGUAUUUUAAUUAAAAAUUAAAGUAAAAAUUUAAAUAAAAAUAUAAAUAUUAUUGAGAUAUUUUUGUAAAGUGUAUUCUUUAUUUCUUCCGGAAUAGAACUUUUAAUGUGGCCUUCUAGGCCGGAUUAGAAAAAAUGGUGAUUGGGAGAUUUUCAUUCACCCAAAAAUCGGAAUCGGAAUAGAAAUCAAAAUAGAAUUCCUGCAUAUCAAGUACCCACAAAUAGAUUCGUUUAUUCCGAUUCUAAUUUCUUAGUCAAAAAGGGAAAAUCAAAGGCACCCUCUUUGCUAGCUCUUGCUACAUUUGCUAAACUUAAAGUGCAAACGUCUAGAUUUCAAGAACGUAUUUUAAGCUGAGGGAAGGUUGUCACGACAUAAAGAUUUUCUCCGCGAUUUCGCUUUGCAAUCACCCAAACUCCAAAGCGGAUAUCUGACGGAGGUUUUGGCUUGGAAUCUUCUGGAAGCUUCUACGCGGAUCCCGAGACUGAUGGUGCGGAUACCGGAGGGUCAUGAGUCCCUUAGAGUUUCUAGGUAGUCAAUAAAUGUAUGACUCUUCGAGUUUCUAUGCUAUUUAUUAGGACUCUUGGGAGACCGCGUGGCCUCCUCUUUUGGGUAGUAGUAUUGUGCCACUUGGCACCUUUUCAUUGGUAUUAUGACGGCGAGUGGUCUAUAAAUAGUGUGGCGUCCACCCCCUCUCAUUUAAGAAUCCUCUUUUGUAUUCUCAACUAUCAAAGUAAUAGAAGAGCUUUCUUCUUAUCUCUCUCUUGUACAUAGUUUAGGGCGAGUGAGGUCCUAACUUAGCAAGUAGAGAGGCAGGCUUGCUCACUUCGCGGAGGAAGGCGAGCGCCGCACGGAUUUUGCGAACCAAACCGUUAAGUCCGUGACAGAAGGUUAACUUGAAGUAUCGAACUAUUUUCAAAAUCAAAUUAUAUUUCAAAAUCAAAUUUAAAUUUAAAUAAAUUUGAAAUUUAAAUUUAAAACUAAAAUUUUAAUUUUAAUUUCAAAAUCACAUGCAUUUCAAUAAAUUCAAUUAACUUGAUCUAUUUUGUAAAUGAAUAUGAAAAUGUUAGAGCAAGAAUAAUGUUAGAGAAACGAGAAAGAAAAAUGCUAGCUAUUCUUACAUCCAAAAGGAUAUAAAUUUUGUUCAUUCUCUCGUCCAAGAGUUUACAAAUUAUUAAUCUGUAUGGAUUUUUAAUAUUAAAAAAAGUGGACAAAAUUAAUAAGGGUGCGUAUUAAUUUGCACCUUGGAAGAGGGAGUGUAAACUUUAGACUUUUUUGGAAUAUGUACAUACUAGUAUUGCGCUCAUUGAAAAAUGAGACAUGAGUAUGACCUAUGAGGAAUAAAAUAAAAUAGAACAUAAUAUAAUGAAAUUAAAGAUAUAAUGUUUUGGCAACUUGGCCAAAUUUAGGCCUUACAAUUGCACCAAAAGGUGUGGUUUGCGGGGCAAAUGAUGUUCUAAAAUUCCACUCUGAAAUGAGAGGGUUCCAUCAGUUAGAUGGAAUAAAUAAUUAAAUUGAGAACACUAGUGGUCAAAAUAUUAUGAACAAUGCUAGCUAGCUACUUAUACAUCUAAACAUUUCACACUUAAUUUUGUCAUCCUAACUUGGUUCUGAAAAUCGCUUUGGAUAUAUUUUAGUAUUAAUAAGAUUAAUUAAAGGGACAAUAUAUGGGGGCAUUAAUGGAUGAGCGGGACAUAAAUCUUACACCUACUUUGUAGAUUUAUAGGUAGGUAUUGCUCAAAUUCUAUACCAUAAUCUAAUAUAAUUAGGUUAAAAGAUUUCGAACAAGAGCAUAUAAUAAUAUAUAUAUAUAUUUUUAUUUUUGUGUGGAAUCUGAGAAGUUACAUUAUGAUUGAAUCAUUACAAUUUAUAUCUUUUAUGGAAAUAGACCUUCACACUUUUUUAUCAUAACAGAAAUUCAUCACUCUUUUACGAAGAUUCAUAUUUUUUGAAAAUCUAUAUCUAUAUAUAUAUUAUACCUGAGCAUCAAAGUACAGUUGUAAAAGUUGACGAUAUUAAAAUAGUACGUUAUUAUUCCUUAAAUGAAAAAAUUGUCAGAAAUUAUAAUUUAAGGGUGCGUUUGGUUCGCAUUAUGAAAGAUUACUAGGAAUAAAAUAUAUCCGAGAAUCUUAUUCCUAUUCAUCCUAUUACUAAGAAUGUGGAAUUCCUGUGUUUGGUUCGCACGGUAAUAUUAAUUAGCCAUGUUAUUUAAUAUUACAAAAAAUAUACAAUUUAUUUAUUUAUUUAUUUAUUUAUUUUNAAGAAUCCUCUUUUGUAUUCUCAACUAUCAAAAUAAUAGAAGAGCUUUCUUCUUAUCUCUCUCUUGUACAUAGUCUAGGGCGAGUGAGGUCCUAACUUAGCAAGUAGAGAGGCAGGCUUGCUCACUUCACGGAGGAAGGCGAGCGCCACACGGAUUUUGCGAACCAAACCAUUAAGUCCGUGAUAGUUGGUAUCAGAGCCGGUUCGAGAAGGAACCAUGUCGUCAUCCGAUGCCGGGGUGGUCGACGCUGGGGGUGAUCCCCCAAAGCAACCCUCCAAGCGAAGCAAGGGCAAGGACACGCGAAUCACGAAGGAUUCCGCGUCCGUGGAGGAACGCCUGGCGCUGCUGGAGGACAUACUAUCCAAAGUGGGUGAAAGGUACAUCGAAAUGGUCGAUACCUUUAACUCCUUUAACGACGACGUCCGCAACAUGGAGGAGAGUGUCGCCACUGCCAUGGCGACCUUUCGAGGCGAGCUCGAGAAGCUCCAAGACAACAUCACCCGUCGUGACGAGGAGCGGAAGAACUUGAUCGAUGAGCUAGUCACUCGAGUCGACAAGGUCGAGGACCUCAAGACAAGGGUGACUAUCCUUGAGAAGGCGGUGGCUCGAGGCGGUGAAACGCAGAAGGAGUACACCCCAAAGGUCCGCGUCCUUGAGCCCCAAUGCUUCAAGGGAACGCGCAACGAGAAGGAGAUAGACAACUUCCUUUGGCACAUGGAGCGCUAUCUCAAGGCGUUGCGGAUCGAGGACGAGGAGGACAAGGUCAAGACCACUUCCAUGUACCUCACCGAUGACGCGAUGCUGUGGUGGCGUCGGCGUUCUACAAAGGCCGAGAAGGGCCAAUGCGAACUAAAGACUUGGGAGGACUUCGUGCGCGAACUGAAGGCACAGUUCUACCCCGAGCACGUCGAAUACUUGGCGCAGAGGCAACUUCGACAGCUCAAGCAUACAGGAUCCCUCAAGGAGUAUGUCAAGGAAUACUCCAAGCUGAUGCUUGCCAUCACCAGCAUGGCCGAGGAGGAUCGGCUGUUCUUCUUCCUCGACGGUCUUCAACCGUGGGCUAACAAGGAGCUCAUAGCGAGAGAUGUCAAGGACGUGAGCUCCGCUAUUGCCCAGGCGGAGAAGCUGCUGGAGUAUGACAAGCCGGACUUCGCUCGUGGCAAACCAUCUAAGGCGAGCAAGGCCAAGGGUGGGGGAGACCGCCGCGAGCAGCGUGAUCACAAGGGCCAAGAGCGAAGAGGACCUCCGCAGAAGAAGAAGAUCUCUUGUUAUGUUUGCGGGGGUGAUCACUGGGCGAGAGAUUGCCCAAAGAAGAAGACCGUCAAUGCCAUCCAAGCCGAGGAGGGCGAGGAACAAGCAGAGACGAAGAUGGGCGCGCUACGACUUGUCAGCGCAAUCCAGGGGCAAGCGAGCAGCAAACUGCUCAAGAAGGAGCUGCUGUUCGUGGACGUGACCCUCAACGGGAGGGCCACUCGAGCGCUCGUGGACACUGGAGUGACCCACAACUUCAUCGCCGAGUUUGAGGCCAAACGGCUGGGCCUCACACUCGAGAAGGACACGAGCAAGAUCAAGGCUGUCAACUCGGUGGCACAGCCUGUCGUGGAAUAGCCAAAGGGGUGACGAUCGCUGUAGGACCCUGGUCGGGUACAGCGAACUUCACUGUCGCAACCAUCGACGACUUCAAAGUCAUUCUUGGCAUCGACUUUCUAGCUUCAUCGAAAGCGGUCCCGAUGCCGCAUCUCGGGGCCUUGAGCAUCAUGGAGGAGGCAGCCCCGUGCAUGGUCUUGGCUAGCCGCAGCGAGCCAGCGGCAACCCACACCCUCUCCGCUCUGCAACUGCGGAAGGGGGUAAAGCGCGGAGAGAUCACUUAUCUUGCGGCCAUCCGCGAGGUGAGCGACGAGGACCUCGNGGGUCCGUUUGCGCCGGGGAUCGGUAGCAGCUCCAGAUCAUCAUCCGUCAAUCUAAUGAUCUCGAUGUCACGUCUCCUCCGCGGAUCACGAGAGUCCGAUGAGAGGAGCAGCGAAACCGCCGCAACCAACACGGUCGCGGCUAAAAUCAACUUUGGGGUGUACAUGGUGAACCAGAGAAAAUUAAAGUACAAGGAAAUUAAAAAAAAGUAUAUAUCUUUGCUAGUGAAAUAUAUUAAGAUGAUGACAUAUAUAUAUAUAUAUAUAUAUCUCAUUUUAUCCGACCUUUGAUGUGUUGGUGCAUGGUCUAAAUCAAUUCAUGUAGGAUGUCCCAUUUCAGAGGUCCAUACAUAAUAUAUCUUUAUAAAUAAUUAUAUUUAUAUAUAUAUAUAUAUAUAGAGAGAGAGAGAGAGCGUUUGGCUAUGGUGCUUGUAAAAGUACCAAAUAUUUGGUGCUUGUAAAUUUUUUACCACGUUAGAUUACGCCUUGAUAUUUCACCCACCUGUUAGAUUAUACUAUUCACAUCAACCAACCACACUGCAUCAACCAUAGGAGCCACAUCUCUUAACACACGGCACAUCUUAAUCAAGGGCUAAAAACUUAACAAGCACACCAAUUCGAUUGUACUUUUAAAAAUAGAAGCUCAAUGUUUAUUAUAUAUAUAUAUAUUAUAUAUAUAAUAAUAUAUAUAAUAUUAUAUAUAUAUAUAUAUAUAAUAUAUAUAUAUAUAAUAUAACUAGGUUACUAUGCUAUUAAUAGCACCAAUCACGGUCGCUAUAAGUUUUUGCAUAUUGGAUUAAGAGCAGUGCGUUAGGAUGAUGUGGCUCCUAGGGUUUGAGUGGGGUGUUGGUUUAUAGUAUAAUUAACGGUAAAAAGGGUCAAAGGGUGAAUUUAACGGAUAGGAAACAUUUGGUACAGCCCAAGUGAUUCGUGCUAUUAAUAGCAAGUAAUCAGCCGGACUAUACUACUAUAUACUAUAUACUAUAAUAUAUCAUAUUCAUAUUAUAAUAUAUUAUAUUAUAUAUAUAUUACUAUAAACCAGACUUUGGAUUUAGAUUCUUUCUCUUCUUUCUGUUCUUGNNNNNNNNNNNNNNNNNNNNNNNNNGUUUCUCUCUCUCUCUCUCUCUCUCUCCUGGCUCUCUUCUUCUCUCUCUCUAUAUAAUUAUAUAGAUACUUAUAUACUAUAUAUAUAUAGAAUUUUUAGCUAUAUACUAUCAAUAGUACCAAAGCCCUUGCGUACUAUUGAAUUUUUGACGUUUGGAUGAAAUAAAUGUGCGGUUAAGAGUGGAUGGUCUCCGGUUAAAUUGAUAGUGCGGUCCCCUAGGUUGAGUGGGUGGUUGGGUUUAUAGUUAGUAUCUAACCGGGUGGAAAUGAUCAAAGCCGGUGAUAACGGCUGAUAGAGGGACAGAACUCAAUAGUAUAAAGGGGCUUUUCGGUACUAUCAAUAGUAUAGUAGCCUGGACUCUCUCUCUCUCUCUCUCUAUAUAUUAUUUAUAUAUGGUUUAAUUGCAUACACGUUCCCGCAAAUAUAGUGAAUUGCAGAUAUAUUCCUGCAAAAACUCAACUUUCAAAGUUAUCCCUGCACAAGUCCUAAUGUAUUCAGAUAUGUUCCUCUGGUUUAAGAAGCCGUUAGAAAAACUAUUUAUCUUUUAAUAGUGGAUUUUCGUUGAAAUAACAUUUGCCCCUCCUUCCUCUGUUUCUUCCUUUUCGGGCCCUGCGGGAGCUGAACGACGGUGCGGCGACUGUAUGCGGAGCUUGUCGGGAUCGUAGCCACCAGCAGGAGAUACGUCGCCCGUUAUACGCCCCAAUCGCGCUGCCGCAUCUCCGAGUUACAAACUUGGAGAGCACGACAUAUGGUGGAUCCCGCCCCAGAGAAGCCCGUUGGUGAAGGCGGCGAGCCGUAGAUGAUGGUGGAUCCCACCCCCUUGCUCGCUCCCGUCGUCCUCCGAGGAGUAAAGCCAAGCGCUGCAGGGUCGUCCGUGGCCACACAUGAGCUCGCGGCAUGGGUAGGAAUGGGGUCGGGGUCGGAUGGUCGGGAUGGGCCAGUGAUCAUGUCGGCGGAUGGUGCAGAGGAUUCGGGAUCGUCAAUGGUGGCAGUGGGCCAGGCGGACUCAUUGGGAGGACCAGAUCGGUGAGGUCAGGGCGUGGAGGAGCUUCCCGGGAUGAGGGCACGCGGGCGAAGGCCAACAACGUGGCGGCUGUCGGCGACCUCCUGGCAGAUCUCAGCGAGGGCGCGGUUGUUGAGGGGUUGGUUAGUGGUGAGCACUGGCGCAGGCGUCAGAAGCGCUCGUGACGAUGGCCACCGACUGGGGUCACGCGAUCAACGGCUCCUUCUUCGCCGGAUCGCCCGAUUGUAUCUCCUCCCUCGUGUCUCAGACGUGACUGCGAUACGACUCCGGCCAACAGAAGAGGAAGAGGAAGAGAAAGUGGAAGAGGGGAAAAUUUAAAUAUUCACCUUAUUCAAUUAACCAUUGAUUAGCAUUUUAGCUGUGCGUUCAUUAAGUUGUCUUCCAAUGGGCAUAUCUAACGCACAGGCGACUAUCUGAAUAUAUUAAGUUUUUGCAACGGCCAUAACUUAUGAAAGUUCGAGUGCAGGAAUAUAUCUGCUAAUUCACUAUAUUGCUCGAGGAUGUGUAUGACCAAUUAACCUUAUUAUAUAUAUAUAUAUUAUAUAUAUAUAUAUAUUAUUAUAUAUAUUAUUAUAUAUAUAAUAUAGAGUAGGCCUGUAAUCUUGUAAAAGAUAUCAUGGGGUUGAUACUUGUGUGUUUUUAACCCUUGGAUGGAGAGAUUGAGCGGUUGAGAUGAUGGUGGUAAGGUGGUGGUAGGUUGGUGGUAGGUGGAAUAUGAUGUUUACAUCCAAGGGCUAUUAAAUAAUCGAAAAGUAGAUCCAAUGCGUUAAAAUCUAAUAGCACCUAUGUUGGCUGAUACUGGUAAAAGUAUCAUAGCCUCAACUCUAUAUAUUAUAAUAUAUAUAUAUAUAUAUAUAUAUAUAUAUUAUAUUAAUAAUUGAGCUUUAUACUUUUAAAAGUUAUCAAAUCAUUGCGUACUUUAGAGUUUCGCCUUUGGAUGAAGGAAUAUGCGACUAAGAUGAUAGUGGUCUCCUAGGUUUGAAUGCGUGUGGUGAUUAAAUGUUAGUGUAAUCUAACAGUAUGAAGAAUAAUCAAAAGAUAGAUCUUUUAAACAUAUACAUAGCCAUACGGGAAAAUGAGUACUAGUGAACAGGAAAUUGGUUUACUAAUAAAAAAUCAAUUUACUAGUAAAGUAAACGUACAAUCAUUUAUGAUAUCAAUUUGUGUUUACCGCACAUUAAUUUAAUAUCUUUUAAUAUUAAAUGUAUUGAUUUAUAUUUUUUUCUCAAAUAAUUAAAUAUAUAUACUAAUUUACAGAUUUUUUCCAAAUCACUGUAAUUAAAAAUUUUAAAAAUUUCUGUAAAUAGUGAUGCAAAAUUAUUUUACUAAAAUAUGGAAUUCAUAUACCUUUAAAUAUAAUGCCAAAAUUGUUGCUAGAUUAGUUGGAACGGAUGUCAUCCAAACUUUCUUAAAUUAUUGCCGAUAUUUAAUCCGAAAUAUCUCAGCAUGAAGUUACCUUGUGAAAACCUAUACAAGUUAAAUGACAAUUUCCGUAUUCUAUACUUACUAUAUAUAAAAAACGUAUAGAUAAUUCAAACAAUGACAGACGCGAAAUCUAAAAAAGGAAUAAGAAGAAUAUAUUUUCUAUAUUUUUUAGAAAUGGGUUACGGAACUGGGGUAUGAUCAUGUUAAAGAAUAUUCCUAAUUUCUUAGGAAGCGAGUACGAACGCGGUAAUGAUCAUCUAAUUUAAAAAAAAUCAUUAAAUAAGAAACGAACGCGUAUUAUGAUAAUCUGCUUAAAAAGUAGAUUCUUAUCAUCUAUAAAAGAAUCCAAAAAGGAAUAAAAGAAUUAUCCCCGUAUAUUUCUAGGGACGGAAUAUGAUCACUUAAUUUAAAAAAUCUUAAAUAGAGACGACACGGUUAUAAUUAAUUUGUUAAAAAAAUAGCAUUCUUACUUCAUCAUAUCCAAUCCUAACGAUCACGGUUGUGUAAAUAUAAAAUAAAAUUGUUACUUAAUAAAACAAAUGCAAAUAAGAACGAACGGUUUUGAUUAAUCUGUUAAAAAAUAUUAUUCUUAUCAAAACUUUAAUUAUAGUGGAUCAAAAUUAAAUUUAAAUUUUAAUAACAUAUGAAUUUAAAUUUUGAUGCUUUUUGUUUAAACACAUAUUUAAAUUUAAAUAAUUUUAGAAAUAAAAAAAUAUAUAAAAUAUUUAAUGUAUAUAAAAAAAGAAAAAUUAUUAGAAUAUUUACAAAUAUUUCUAAUAAAAUAUAACUAUAUGAAUUUAUUAAAUUCAUAAAUUUUUAAAUAAAUAUAAUGCUGCGAAUUUAUUGUAAUUUAAAAUAAAUUAAAAUUAAUGGUACGUUUCCAUUUGCACGUACACUUAACUUAGCUUGAUCAACAGUUUUGAUUUUUUAUUAUGAAUUAUUUAUGAAUUAAGUAUCGAAUCAAAUAUCAAAGAUUAAAAAACUAUAGCUAGCUAGUAAAGGCAAAAAACUGUUUAAACCAAGCGACAUGUGGAAAAACGCUAAACAGUAGGGUUUCAGUUUGAAAGUCUCCCAAAAUUUUUUUAAGGUCUAAGGGUCAGAAUGUCUGGCUGACACUUACUAUCAUAUGUCUCAUCCAGAUUAUUUGAUCUAUUUUCUACUAAAUAUUCCAUGAUGUAGAUUUAUUCAAUGUUAAAGCUUUAGUUUCGUAUUGAGAUCUAUGCUAAUGUUCGUUAAAAUAAAUGAAGUUUGAAGGAAAAAGUACUAUAGGGAAUAUCAUGUUUCUGCCGUGUCUCGGUGGGACCGCAGAAAAUUAUAUCUAACUGGGACUCAUCGCGAUACGCAGAACAUAUACAAUAUUACAUACGGAACAAACGGAUAUUUUCCAACGUAAUUUCUAUACCGCACAUAACGCACAUCUCCCGCAAUCCCAAAUGAAGCCUAACUCUACUACCUAUCCAAUCCUCGAUCGGUUUUAAGAUUAAACGUCUCAAGGUCUAGAUUUUAUUCUACCAAAACUCCACUCCAUUUUUAUCCAUCAAAUUUAUUAUUCUACAAGAACUCUCCGCCGCCCAGAAUGGCUCUGUUGGGCCAAUGGAAUUAUAAUCAGCAUAGGAUAAAUUUUUUCUACUCUUCUGUAAUAUCUCAAUAUUCUAGAAUAGUACGAGGCAAUAUCAAAAAUUUUUUGUUUGGGGAUUCUUAUAUUAAUUUAUACUAGGGUACCUGCAAUAUGAUGUAUUAGGUUAAUUUCUUUGAAAGGAGAAGAAGAAUAAGUGAAAAAAGUUAAAUGAAUUAUUUUUAAAUGCCAAUUUUACCUUUGAUGAAUGUCUUCACAUUCAUAGUAUAUGCUUAUUAGAAUAUAUUAGCACGAUGAAAAAAUAUAAUUAUAUUUUCAAAAUUGUACAAUAGUAAUUUAUUAUUAAUUAAUCAGACAUGAUUAGAAAUAAUUUUAUAUUAUACUACUUAUCAAGUAAUAUACAGAAAAUAAUUUAAAUUUAUACUCAAUAAUAUAUAUAAUUAGUAAACACUAUAUAUAGAAAUUGCGGAUGGGAGGAUGCGAAUAAAGUGGGGGUCGGGUCGAGGCGCAUAAAUAUCGAGGGUGCAUGUAGUCGAGGCAUCAUAAAAAGUAGGAAAAAAAACUACUUGUAUUUGCCCACCCCUGAAUCAUGAGGGAUAAAUUUUAUCUACUGGGAGAAUAUAAUUAAUGGGUUAUUCCAUGAUUCAACUGGAAUAACCCGCUCUGAUAGAUAUAAAUUAUUCAUGGCCAAAUUUUAUUUUGUUUGGAGAAUAAUACAAGAUAAAAAGUGUUAUUCUGCAAUAUUCCGAUUACCAUAAUGGAGCCUAAAGUUCUAAUGUUUCAGAUUAUUUGCUAGCUACUAUCACUCUAUGAUCUUAGCGUAGAAAAUUGCCAAUUCUUCUCUAUGAUUCCAGUUUAUCUGAAGUAUUUUGUCCCAUAUUUAUUUUACUAAACUCAAGGGCGGGGCUUGUGUAAAAGAUAGAAUGCAGCGAAAGUAUUUGUUUGCGUACCUUAUGCGGAAAUGCGACUGGCCACUUAUGAACGCGAUGAGUUUGGAUUUAUAGCUUUGAUUCACGUGUUCCCGGAUCAGUCGACAAAAGGUUUUCUUAACGCUCCAAACUUCUCACGGUAGGAUCGAACUACGAACACUGCGAUUCUAAUCACUCCUCUUUUAGAACAAGAGGUUAAUGGAGAUGUUAACUUACUCUCUUUCACAAGUACGGGCUCACGAAUUACUCACGAAUUAUUGACUUAUUUUUUUUUUUCUUUGCUUGUUUUUAUGAGAGAAUGAAUCUGUAUAUUUUAUUAAGGCGAUUCCAAAAACCUUUAAUAGAUUAAGUAAGGAAUGUAGGCCAAAUCGGUUUCAUAAUUAUUAUUUUAAUAUGGGUUAAAUACUAUCUCAGAUUAACUUUAUAGCGUAGUUAAGUCUAUCUCUUAAUUAUGACAAUUUAAUAAUUGUCGGAUCGUGAGUCUGAUCAUAGACGCACCCUGAUUUGGUUUAACCGAAUGCCAACACUUUUAAGUAGAAGCGUCAAACUUUUAACUUUUUGACUUUGGAUCCUAGAUGAUUUACUAAUGACGGGUGAUAAUAAUAUAAUCUAAGCGGCCAAAAGUGCAAAGCUGGUGCUCCCAAAAGUGUAGUAGCUUUAACUCUAGAAGUACGGUGGUUUAACAAUGAGAAAUGGAAAUCGAGAAUAAGAAUUCAAAAUGGAUAGAAAUUGAAAACGGAAUGAUACAAACCUUCUAAUAUGUUUGAAUUCAAAGAAUAACAAAUCAGAAACGUAUAUGAUUAUUUCGUGUCUUCAAUAUUAAAAAUCUUUUCAUCUUGAUAAAAAAUACUAAAAAUGGCGAUAUAAAAUUAAUUUAAAAUUGUGUUGCACCUAAAUAUAUAAAAUUAAAUUUAUAAUUUAAGUUCCAAACUUAAAAGUUAAAAUUAAAAUUUAAUAAAUAUUGAGAUGAUAAGCCAAAAGUGUUUAAAUAUAAUUUUAAAAAAUUAAAAUUUAAAAUUGGAGGAUAAUUCAAAAUGUAAAAACAAUUUUUGAUUUGAUUCAAAUUUCAAACUUAUCAAUAAAUUUAAAUUUAAAUUUAUAGAUCAAGUUCAAAAUUGAGAUUGAUAUUGAUUAUAUUUUAAUUUAAUUUUCUAACUCAAAUCUAGAAUUAAACAAUGUAAUUCUAAAAUUUAAAUGUUGUAUUUUAAAUUAACAAUUAAGUAAAUUUAAAUAAAUAUAAAUAUUUUUGAGUAUUUUUGUAAGUGUAUUCUUUAUUUCAGUCCGGAAUAAGAACUUUUAACUGGCCUUGCUCAGCCGAUUAGAAAAAAUGGUGAUCCGGUAGAAUUCUCAUUCACCCAAAAAUCGGAAUCGAAUAGAAAUUAUAAAUAGAAUUUCCUGCAUAUCAAGUACCCACAAAUAGAUUGUUUAUUCCUGAUUCUGAUUUCUUAGUCAAAAAGGAAAUAUGCAAGCCCACCUUUGCUAGCUAGCUCUUGCUCAUUUGCCUAAAUUAAAGUGCAAACGUCUGAUUUCAAGAACUAUUUAAGUGAGGCCGGAAGGUUAACUUUGAAGUAUCGAACUUUUUCAAAAUCAAAUAUAUUUUCAAAAAUCUAAAUUUAAUUAAAUAAAUUUUAAAAUUAAUUAAAACUAAAUAUUUAUUUUAAUUUCAAAAUCACAUGCAUUUCAUAAUUCAAUUAAUUGUAAUAAAGAAUAUGAAAAUGUUACAGCAAGAAUAAUGUUUAGAAAACGAGAAAGAAAAAUGCUAGCUAUUCUUGUCUAUCAAAAGGAUAUAAAUUUUGUACAUUUCUCUCGUCCAGAGUGUUACAAAAUUUUAAUCUGUAUAUGGAAUUUUAUAUAUUAAAAAAGUGCGGACAAAAAAUUAAUUAAGGGUCGUAUUAUUUUGCACCUUUGGAAACGAGGGUUGUAAACUUUAGACCUUUUUUUGGAAUAUGUACAUAUAGUAGUACUGCUCAUUGAAAAUGAGACAUGAGUUACAUCGACCUGAUUAGGAAUAAUAUAACAUAGAACAUUGAAUAUAAUGAAGUAAAAGGAUAUAAUGUUUGGGGCCAACUUGGCCAAUUCUAGGCCUUACAAUAUGCACCAAAAAGUAUGGUUAGCGGAGCAACAUGUUGUUCUAAAAAGUCCACUCUGAAUGAGAGGGUUCCAUCAGUUAGAUGAAUAAAUAAUUUAAAAUGAGAACACAGUGGUCAAAAUAUUAGAGACUAAUGCUAGCUAAGGCUAUUAUACAUCUAAAACAUUUCACACUUAAUUUUGUCAUCCUAACUUGUUGGGUUCUGAAAAUCGCUUGAUAGAUUGUAUUAAUAAGAUAAUUAAAGCGAAAUAUAUGGGGGCAUUAAUUGGUAUGACGGGACUAAUCUUACACCUACUUUGUAGAUUUUAUAGGUAGGGUAUUGCUCAAAAUUCUAUACCAAUCUAAUUAAUUAGGUUAAAAGAUUUCGAACAAAAGAUAUAAUAAUAGUAUAUUUUUUUUUAUUUUUUGUGUGGAAUCUGAGAAGUUAAAUCAUUGAUUGCUCAUUCGCAUUUAUUAUCUCUUUAUGAAAAUAGACCUUCACACAGUUUUUAUUUAUAACAGAAAUUCAGUCACUCUUUGACGAAGUUCAUACUUUUUAUGAAAUCUAUAUCUAUAUAAUAUUAUACCUAAGGCCAUCAAAGUACAGUUGUAAAGUUUGAUCAAUAUUUAAUAAUAGUACGUUAUUAUUACUUAAUGAAAAAUUGUCAGAAAUCUUAAAUUAAGUGUUAUAUGGUCGUCGCAUUAACAGAUUUAAUUUAAAAUUUUGUAGCAUGGUAUGUUUUAAUUAUUUUUACUUAUAUAUUUCUCUUCAACAGAUCUAGGCUUAGCUUCAUACCCUAAAAAGCCUUAGUGUAAGUGUUCACUUUAUUGAAUGGACCUAUAUUCUGAAACGGGGCAUAUGAGUAUAAUAGAUCAUCUCAAAGUAAUUGACUGCUAAAUCUGUGAUGCUAAUUAAUCUGUAAUCUACGGCACAAUACCAAGCAGCUCUGCUUAGCUAGCUAGAUUUGUAGUAAUAUUUGGGUCUUAAGUUUUAAUAUAGACAACCUAAUUAGUUUAAGGAUAGGGAAGUUAAUUCCAUGUCAUAAUUUACCUAGCGAUCGAGAUAGAACAUUAUUAUUAAUUGGUUGUCAUGUAUGUGGCGUGUAUUAAUUUUGGUUGUUUGGAUUUAGGUUGGUGAAGAUCAUUCGUUAAUUUUCUACGACAUAAAUUAUGAAAUCGUAUAAUUAAUUUUCUUAGGACGAACGUACUUUCCCACAGCUAUAACAUGCGUUACUAUAUAUUAUAUAUAUAUCUCGCAUACUAAUGACCUAUCCUGGUAUAUUAUUAAUGACCCAACACGUCGCAGUCGUAUUUGAAUUAAUUAGCAUCAACACUAAUAUUAUAUUAGCCACGGUAUUAGUGUGGUCCAGAUUCGUUAACUUUGAAAUUUCAUGAAAUAUAUUCACAAACUUUGAAUCUUGACUGUACGAAAAUUUUGUUCCCGAAUCAUUCAUUAUAAUAUAAUGUACGUACGUAGAUCAUAAUUGCAAUAACAUACGAAGUAUUUAUAAUGAAGCUAGCUUAUAAUGUUUACAAACGAUAGUACGCAAAUUAAUUAAGGUAUCUUACUAUGCCUUCAUCUAACUAUAUAUAUUUCGUUGCUAAAUUAGUAUUGUAUUUUAAUACGCGGUAGUGUUGUAUUUAUUUUGCAUCAACAAAAGAAAUAACAUGAGCGGAAGUACAACAUCUCUGACGAGAGAAUGAGAGAGAGACAGAGAUUCGAGUGAUGAGGAGAUGUUAUAUUUAUAUAGUAUCACAGAUGAGAGGCACGAAUGACGAAGGACGUAAUUCGAGCCAGCCCCUUCGGGCCCUCGCCUUCGAGAUGCGGCCGUUUGUGGAACCCGUGUAGGGCCUGCCGGGGGCGUUCGACGCGAUUGCUCUUCGGGUCCGUUUGCGCCGGGGAUCGAGCUUGCGGCUAGAGCUCAGAUUAUCAUCCGUCAAUCUAUGAUCUCGAUGUUUGUUUCCCCCCCACGUCUCUCCGCGAUCACGAGAGUCCGAUGAGAGCGAGCAGGAAACGCCGCAACAAAACGGUCGCGCGCUAAAAUCAACUUUGGGUGUACAUGCGUGUGAACCAGAGAAAAUUACAGUACAAAGGAAGUUAAAAAGUAUUAUAUAUCUUUGCUAGCUGAAUAGAAUUAAGAUGAAUGACACUAUAUACUCUAUAUAUUCUCACGAACACAGAGAGAGAGAGAGGAGAGCGAGGGAGAGAGCAAGGGGCACCAGCACCUACAUAUAUUGGCUCUAUCUAGGUAUAUGUCGUUUUAUCCGACCUUUGAUGAUGUUGUGUGCAUGGUCUUAAUCAAUUAUGUAGCAGGUGCCCAUUCGCAGAAGGUCCAUACAUAAAUAGAUAUCUAUACUAUAUAUAGGAGAGAGAGAGAGAUGAGAGAGGAGAUGAGAUCGUGAGAGAGAGAGAGAGAGAGAGUCUGGCUUAUUGGUGCUUGUAAGUACCAAGUAUUUAUGCUUAUAAAUUUUUGCCGUUAGAUUGUAUUUUUUGGGUUUUCUACGCUUUGAACAUUUCACCCGGUUAGAUCUAUACUAUUUCAACCAACCACCACUUAAACCCUAGGGAGUGGCCAUAUCAUCUUAACCGCCACAUUCCUGUACCAAGAGUUAAAACUUAUAAGCACCAAUAACUUGCACUUGGUACUUUUAAAAGCAUAGGAGCUCAAUUAUAUAUAUAUAUAUAUAAAAGAUUUGGGUUUAGAUUCUUUCUGUUGAAACUUGAUCUUAAUGCAAUCGAAUCGAUAAUCGACGCUUUUGAGGGGGCGCGUCUGGUUCGAGUUAUAUAAUAUUAUAAAGUAUUUUAAUGUAUCUAGAUAUUUUGAAUUUCUAAAUGAUAUUACUAUUGAUGUUGUAUUAGCGCAUUUGGUUUAAUACAGUAAUGUAAUGUUGGAUUGCAGUAUUUAUAGCAUUAUAUUUGAUUCAAAUUCAUAAAAUUUAAUAAUCUUGACAAUAAAAGAUAGUCUAUUCCAAAAUUGCUCUUAAUCAUAUUUGGCAAAUUUUUUUUUACUGUUUAUAACUAAUAUUUUUUUACUAAAUUUUAUUUUAAAUAAUUUAAUUUUUUUAAAAUUUUAAAUUUGAACAAAAAUAUAAAAUUAAUAUUUUAAUUUAAAAUAUAAAUAUAAAUAUAAAUAUAAAUAUAAAUUUAAAAUUUAAUCUUAUUCUCGAGAGAGAGAAAGAGAUGGGAGAGGGACAGUGCGUGGCGGCUGAAAAAGACAAGGAAGAAAAUCGAGUGCAAAAUUCGGUGGUUGCAACAAAUUUGGGUGGUGACGAGGACCACCCAAUAAGUAUGAAGGAAAAGAAAGUGAUGUGAAAGAAUUAACUUUUGAUUAUCGAAUUUAGUUAACCAAACAAUCGGUGUACAGGAAAUUUUGCACUUGUUUUCAUUAAAAAAAUAUUAUAUUUUAGAUCGUAAUUAUCUGGUUGUUACAAUAUAAUUUUUACAACUGUACAAAAAAAGAAUUAUAUUUCCAUGCAACUCCUUUUUACUCAAUAAAUUAAGUAAUUAGACAGUCCUCAUCCUUGUAUCUUUUAAUUCUGGAAUUAAUAAGGUAUUUUUACUUAUUCAACUUCUGAAAUAAACAGUGUUAGACCAAUUUUGUAUUUGAAUAAGAAUUAAGUUAAUCCUAGGAAUAAGUAAAUAUACGUAAAUAUAGCUUAAAAUAAAAAAAUAUAUACCUAGCUAAUUAAUUAACAUUAAAAUAUUCAUUAAAUAUUAAAUAAUAAAUUAAUAAACUAAAUAACCGCAAUUCCUUGGAAAUGCCACCCGGAGGAUGGGUGAAAUGAAUCAGCGUACAAGACAAGAUAAGUCCUUCGUAUGCCGGACUGUGAGUGGUGUUGGAGCAUGUAGAGUCGUUGAAUAUCGACUUACACUGCCACCGGAACUUGCGAGAAUUCAUAAUGUGUUUUAUGUAUCACAUUCCGCAAGCAAGUUUGUGAUUGGACCUAUGUCCUUUGUUACGAGCCGCUUGAGCAAUCACAAAAACCGUGAAGCCGCUCAGGAGUGGGAGAAUGUGUUGAUACCCUUAUUUAUUCGACAAGUCGAAUUGAGCUGUGAUUUUAGUUUCGCGGAUGAAACUCUUUUAAGGGGUGAAGAGUGUAAUAUACUGAACUUCUAUAAUUAUAAAGUUUUGGUGGUAACUAGCUUAAAAAGCUAGUUAAAAUAGUUCUAGCGAAGUUUGGAGAGUAUUCGAGUGUUUUCGGCACAAACUGGAUGCGAAAAUGGACUCGAAAAGGUAAAAUCUGUCAAAGUGGCGUAAUUUGUAUUGAGACCGGUAUUGAAAUCUGUGUACCGGUACGCAAUACAAAAUGAGAAAAAUGAGCUCUCGGGUUUUGAGGAAUCAAACAUGAGUACCGAUACUAAGUUUGUAUUAGGUACUGAUACUGGAAACCGAGUACUGAUACGCAGUAGAAAAUUGAGAAUCCAACGUUCGGGUUUUGAGAUACCAGAAAUUGGGUGCUGGAACUAGAUGCCCGAGUACCGGCACACCAACCCGAGUAUCAGUACUCAGUCCUGUAGAAUCCUGAUUUUGAGGGGUGUUUUGGUAAUUUCAUGUGAGGGCCUAUUUAAGAGGGGGCCCUCUUCCCUUUCUCUACAGAACACACACACACGCACACUGAGAGAGAUAGGAGCUCAUCUCUCUCUCACUCUCUUCUCCUUCUUCUCCAACUUGCAAAUCUUGGUGGAGAUCGAGCUCGGGAAGCUCGAAGGAGUGGUGAAUCGAGCUCUCGGGCACUUGGUGGCUCGAAGCGCUUUCGACUCGCGGUUUGUUUUUGGCUUAAGAGAUUAGGAUUUUUGGUUAAAUCCCUUGAAAUGAGACUCUAGAGUCUCUUAGAUAAUUCUAUACUUGUUUAAUCAAGAUCUCUUUAUGGAUUUGGAAUAUUUUUGGAGAAAUUGGAAUCUAGGGCUUGGAUUUGGGAUUUUUGUCCCUAUGAGAUAUGGAACUAAAUUGAUCUCAUAUAUCUCUAAUUAAAGGGUAAAUCGAUGCGGGGGACAACUUUGAUUUGGAUUACAGCAAGGUUAUGACGUCCAAUUGGGAGAUAUCACCGGAUUUCAUCCGUUAGGCUUGGGUCGAACCGAAUCGGGCGAUGUUGGCCGUGGGAGUCCGAUUGCAAUUGUCUACAAGCAAUCGGAACCGUUGUGAGAUACGUUGUGCUUCACUGAAGUAACUAGCUAGGUAGCUUCCUUAUCAAAAGAAUAAAAUAUGGCACUAUUGUUGAUGCAUGUAUGUAAUGGUAGGUUACGUGUGGUAAAUAUGAAUGAAUGAAUCAUGUGUUACUAGAUGGAAUAACCUACCGUUGGACAAGAACAUAGGCAUGUGGAACAUAUAGGAGAUGUAUAUGUAUACCUAGGUGUGGAUAAUGAACAUAGGUCGAUGAACUUUAGAAAAAUUAGAAGAUUCAA